UUUUACUUGCAACGGGCUCUAGUGAUGAUGGGAAGAGUGGGUUUUGACGUUUGAAACUUAGAAAGGGAUCCCAGGACUAUCAAGUCAAUCUUUAGAGACGGCGGGCUAGGGUAAUUUGGGAAGAGUAAGUAAUGUGAGCUUUUUGACAUUAUGAAGGAGAUUCUUUAGAAAACUGAUAUUUUUAAAGCCUCUCUCUUAUAUUCUCUAAACACUUUUUUGCGGCAAAAAGGACCCCUUCAACAGUGAAAAUUUGAGGUAUUUAUAGGAAAUGGGGGUCCUAAAAUAGAGGGUCAGGAUUCAAGAUGGAAAAAGAAGAGGUCUGAAUUUAAAAGGACAAAAUUUGAGAGUUAAGAAUUAAAGAGAUCUAGAAUCAAGAGCGGAGAUCAAUUCCAGAGUUCUUUGUCCUUUUCUUCUUUGAUCCAAUAGUUAGGGAUCAUGCUUUACAAAUCAGAUCAAGGGUUGGGGUUAAAAGGUAUCAAAUUUGUUUUUAUCACUUCAAUCCAAUAGCCUGGGAUUUGUCCUUACAAAUAAGAUCAAGGGCACAAAUUGAAACGUACCAAAGUGCUUUAACUGCUUCAAAUCCAAUGGUCUAGAUUUAUCCUUACAAAUGAGAUCAAUGGUGAAGAUUGAAGCGUACUCCAAAUGCUUUAAUUAACUCAAAUCUGAUGGUGAGAAUUUGAUCUUACAAACCAAGGGCUAUGAUUCAAAGGCAAAGUGAUGUCUCUGAAAUUUUUGUUCGCUCAACCUUUUUCUCUUUACUUGACAUUUUUUUGACCUAGUGGUUUCCUUUAUCCGAUCUCUUUAUCAGGUCCCUUCAUCCGAUCUCCCUCAAUCUGAUCUCUAUAGUUAAUCUGAAAACUCUUCAUCUGAUCUCUCUUUGUGCUCUUCACUCAUCCUCUAAUCUCUUUUAUCUAAUCUUAACACUUGUCAUCCGAUCUCUUAUCUGAUCUGUUCCUAAACCUUUCAUCCGAUCUCUUUGUCUGCGCUUUUCACUUUCAUCCGGUCUCUCCCGUUACUGGUUCCCUCCCCAAGUCAGAAAUAAAUAAAAUUCUAAAUACCAUACCCGAUGGUACGCCUUGGAUAUCAAAAAAACAUUAAAUAUUUUGUUUAACCGAGACGUCUCCUUUAGCUGUGCAAGCAUUGAAUGUACGAGGCUAUAUAUAUAUGGGGGAGGGGCUGUCAU
rnacentral:misc_RNA from 1 species